GUGGGAAGCAAGAUGAUUCCCUGGUCGGCUCCACAGGGUCUUAGUGGGAAAUGCAGGUGGAGGGACGCAGCAGCCCUGGAAGUACCGCGGCGUUGCCACGGGGAGGGCCAGACCACCCACUGCGCUGCCUCUCCCUCAGCAGGCACGCCCUCGUCGGCCUGGUUAGGAAAUCAUCUUUUGGCCUCACUGUGCCAGCCUAGUCAGCUCUCAGCUCCCUGAGUCAGGAAAAGGGGUGGAAAAGUGAACAGUCCAGCAGCGCAUGUUCUAGAACCCUCUGCAGAUGCAGCCAGGCCAGCGAGCACACGCAGGAGGCGGGCGGCCACCUUCUUGGGUGUUGAGUGGCUGCUCCUGCCUCAGGGCUGCAGAUGCAGGCUCACAGCCCCCUGGUGAGCCCCGGAGUGGCUGCAUCCAAUCUCCAGAUCCUCUGUCUUCCCAUAAAGGAGACUGAACCCGUGGUGGUUUCUAGAUCAAGAUUUUUCUCUAAGUAACUCAGGGUUAUUAUAACAUGCAACCUGUGAUCACUUUGAAAAAGCUAAUGAAAAUGCACUUAGAUUUAACUUUGUGUCACUCAAUAUUGUUAUAAAACAACAACAACAGAAAACCAAGAACGCUAAAUUUACCGUAACCACAGUAAAAUACGCAUUUGAAUAUUCUGGUAGGAGGGCAGGCAUCCCCCAGGUCCUGAUAGAUCCACUCCAGCAGUCAGGCCUGUGCUUGGGGACGCGUGGGCGGGUUGAGGAUUGAGACGGUCUCUGAUGAUGCUAAAGAAGUGUUUCCUUUCUCUUUCCCCUUUCCCCCAACAGCUGCGGAUAACCGUCUGGUCCUUGUGCACAAAAUCCGUAUCUUACAUCAAAUACCCAAAAGCUUGUCUGCAGGGAAUCACCUUCACCAGGGAUGGCCGCUACAUGGCGCUGGCAGAACGGCGCGACUGCAAAGAUUACGUGAGCAUCUUCGUCUGCAGUGAUUGGCAGCUCCUGCGGGUAAGGCGUCCCCCAGGCUGGAAUAAAGUUGUCCUGCUGAAUGCGGAGGGAUCGAGUGAAGUAGAUCCUUCUCCGGAUUCCAGGGGAUCUUUGGUAGGAUAUGGAGCAAGGUAAUGUUGUAUUAACAAAGGGCAGGUGCGCUGUGAAUCACUUCCAGUGGCACCCGGUUGUGUGUUCAGGAGACUUGGUGAAAAGGACGUAUGCCCAGGUGUUUUAAAAGUGAAUAUGCUGUCACAUUUGAGCCCUUUUCCUUGUCCUGUGCGAUGGUGUUUGCGCAUGUGUGUGCCACAUCGGGAGUGGGGGGGACGUGGAAGUUCACCUUGACUGAGGGCUGCGUUAGGCAGGGCGCCCUGCCAGGUGCCCAGGCACAGAGGGCACUGUUCCCACAGCAGACAUGUGAACACGAUUCCAGCACAAUCCAUCGUUAAGGUAGAGCAACCUCUAGAAUGCUGUCAGAGCACAGAACCCGGGAUCCAGGCAGUGCUCUGGAAGGGACUUGUCUGAGCUGGGUCUAAAGGAGUGAGCCUUGCCAGGCAAGGAAAGGUGAGGGGGGAGAGUGCACAUGAGUGCAGGUGCGGGGAGACCAAGCCGCCCUCGUGGGCUGGCCAGGCAGUGACGCUGGCACCUGUGGGGGUACAGCCCCAGCAGCAGCUCUACAGGGAUUUCAUGCAUUUCCAGGAUAGAGCUGUUGAGAUUUUGUCAAUUUCUAUAUAAGGAAAUUAAGUGCGUUAAGAACAUCAGUUAUAAAUGCAAUUAUUUAUUUAUGAAAAUAUUUUCCAAAUUUAAUGUUUCCCCCCUUCCUUUGGAAGCAUUUUGAUACGGACACCCAGGAUCUCACAGGGAUUGAGUGGGCCCCAAACGGCUGUGUGCUGGCAGUGUGGGACACCUGCUUGGAGGUAUGAAGAUGACCAGGUGACAUGUUUGCUUUCGAGAGCUUUUCCCGGAAUUUCAUGCUUUCUGAAUGCUGCAAUAUAGUUUGCUUUAUCUUAUUUCAGAUAACAUAUUGAGCUUUGUUUUAAAAGACAGGGUCUUGCUCUGUCACCCAGGCUGGAGUGCAGUGGUGUGAUCACGGCCCACUGCAGCCUCGACCUCCUGGGCUCAAGUGAUCCUCCCACCUCAGCCUCCCAAGUAGCUGGGACCACAAGCGUGCACCACCAUGCCCGGCUAAUUUUUGUAUUCUUUGUAGAGAUGGGGUUUCACCAUGUUGCCCAGACUGCUCUUGAACUUCUGUGUUCAAGUGAUCUGCCAGCUUCGGCCUCCCAAAGUGCUGGGAUUACAGGCGUGAGCCACAGUGCCCGGCCGAGUUGAACUUUUAUCAGCGAGCCAUUAGGUUGACCUCCCAAUUUCCCCUUUUUCCUCAUGCUCUCACUGCCUCUCCAGGGACUAUCUCAGUUCUAGCUGGCAGUUCCAGCUUUUCCACGGCCAUGCGGACAGUCCUGCCAGCUUUGUGCUAUCUGCACCAAUGUCACUCUGCAGCACCCGUGUCUGUGGCGUGUUCCUGGCGAAUGGGAUGUAUUCAUCAUUAACUGAAAUGUCUCGUCUGCAGUACAAGAUUCUGCUGUACUCACUGGACGGCCGGUUGUUGUCUGCGUACAGCGCUUACGAGUGGUCCCUGGGCAUCAAGUCUGUGGCCUGGAGCCCUAGCAGUCAGUUUCUGGCAGUUGGGAGCUACGAUGGAAAGGUGGGAACCAGUGCAGGGCACUCAGGAAGUCCAGCCGCCCAGCCGGCCGGGCCCUGCCUCACCUGUGCGUGGCUUCCUUCCUCAGGUGCGCAUCCUUAAUCACGUGACUUGGAAAAUGAUCACGGAGUUUGGGCAUCCUGCAACCAUUAAUAAUCCCAAGAUAGUAAGUCUGGAACACGUGUUUGUGCCUGAGCAGGCUGUUGGGGAGGGCGGUGGGAAACUGCUCCUUCACUUUGCUUUCUUGAUUGUGGUUUAUUAUUUAACUGGGCGCUUCCCUCACCGUAAACUUGCUACUGUGACAUUUCACGCGUCUGGCCCUGCCCUGGCCUUUGUUCUUCCUCCUCCACGCUGCCCAAAGGGUCUGAAGUGGGCCUCUGCCUGCCCUGUCCUCUGCUGCCGCCAUCCCAGCCCGGGUGUCUCCUUCGUGGUCUGUCUGGAUGCAGAUCCCUGUGCUGUAGAGUGGCCAGGGUCUCCUGCCCCCAAACACUGAGCAUCUGCUGUCGUGCCGGGCACUGUGCUCUGGGCUGCAGCCAGAGAAGAAGAGACAGACCCCUGCACUUGCAGAGUGCAGCUGGAGAGACAGGGAAGGGGCCGGAGAGCUGGGUGUCUCCACAGGGUGGCAGGGAGUGGCCACCAGCGAGGGAUCGCAGGCACAGAUGCUGCACCAGUGAUCAGGGAUUCGGGGAGGGAGCGUUCCGGGCCAAGGGAACAGGAAGUGCAAAGGCCCCGAGGAGUGGGCCACGCAUCCAUGUGUGCAGUGGGCACUGCGCUGGGAGCCAGCUGGGAGCCAGAGACAAAUGCUGCCCUCCUGGUGUUGACCUGUAACCGACAGAGCUGAGUGAAAGGCGGUUUGGAUUCGAUGAAGAGGGCAGUGAGUGGCUGGGGCUGCGCGUGCCAGAUCAGCCACUGCUGGGGAUGCAUCCUGGAGGGGUGUUUAAGUGAAGACCAGGAGGAGGAGCUGAGGAGCCGCGCAGUGUCUGGGCAGAAAGGGUGUUUCAGGCAGAGGGGCCUCCUGACGUGGCCAGUGGCUUGUGUGGCUGGAGGCCAGGGCAUCUGGACCGAUGAGCCAGAGCAGGGCUGGCCUCACAGGUCCUGAAGGUUUGCCUGCAAUUCCUGCAUUCUCCAAAUCCCUUCGCCACACAGCAGCAGAGCAUGCUUUAAAGGCACGAACCAGGCCAGGUGACUCCCUUACCUGGGGCUCUUCAGGGGCGCGGGGGCUGCCCGCCUUCCACUGAGCCUGGGCCGCUGUCCUUUGCUUGCCAGGCUCUCGGGCACAGAUGCCCCCACCUCGGGUCUGUGUCUGCUGCUCCCAGGGCCUCUGCUGUGUUGGUGCAAGUGUUCUCUGUAUCCCCUUAUCACGGAGGGAAGGCUGAGCCCGCUCCCUUGCUGGAUGAUGGUGGCUGCAGUGGUCUCCCGUCUAUAAUCACAGGACACACAUUUGCUGCCUGUGUCUCAAAGGGUGGGCUCCUCAGCAGGACACGAAAGAGGGUGGCUGGGUGAUCUCAGCUCUCGGGACGGCGGGGUUCGUGUUUCCGUCUCUGCCGGUGGUAGCAGGACCAGCUGUCGUGGCAGGCAUGCCUGUUGACCAUGUGCCAUCACGGGCAUUUGCCACGUCCAUCCUUGGCUUCCGGGUCCCUGUCCUGAGCCGUGCGUGGCCACCUUGUGUCUUUCAGGUGGUGUAUAAGGAGGCCGAGAAGAGCCCGCAGCUGGGACUGGGCUGCCUCUCCUUCCCACCCCACCGGGCCGGGGCCGGCCCUCUCCCGAGCUCAGAGAGUAAAUGUAAGUAGCACACGUGAUGUCAUUUGUUUUCCUUUUUUAAUGCAAGAUUCCUCGUUGUCCAGAUAAACUUCGGAUGUUCCUUAUGUUUUUAAAAAAAAACUUUUUUCCUUUCCGUGCUUCCAGCCAGCGUGCCCCUCAGCCUGUUGGCUGGAGGUUGACUGGGGUCUGAAUUGUGCAGUGGGCCGUGAAGGUGCGGCUUCUGUUCCUGAAUAUGAGCCCUGGAGAUCCGGAUCUGACAGCGGGAUCUCCUAGGGGAUGUUUUUCCUGAGCUCCGAGGAUGAUGUUUUUCAAAGAAACACUUUUCUGUGGGUGGCGCUCAGAGUGGGUCUGGAGGCCGGCGGUGCUCCCGAGUGCUGUCUCCGGCUUGAGGCCUGGUUCUGAUGCAGCCUCUUGACUCUGGGCGUUUCCUAUGUGUCUGUUUUCUCAUCGCUGAAAUGGGCAUAGUAAAAGCACCCACCCCACAGGGGCACGAGGGCAUCUGAAGGUUGCAGGUAGAGGAAGCGGUGCCCCGAGUGCCGACGGGCCCACCCCGGGGCUCGGUGUGUGGCUCAGGAUGCGGGUCAGGACAGGUGCAGCCUGGCACACAGGAGGCGCUCCCCAGGAGCCCGGGGGCGUCCUUGUUCCACAGCCCCUGCUUCUGCUGUGAUGAUGGUUCUUCCACAGCCAGAAAGUCUAAGGGUACUGAUGCUGAGGUGGAAGGGAUUGUGAACUCAGAUGCUGGUAGUCGACAGAAAAGUGCCGAGGAGUUGGAGCUGCUGAGAUUGCAGCUAGGACCUGUCCAUGUCCCUCUCCAGUCAGCCCCUGGCACGUGGGGUCCACCCCCCACCUAGUCGGGCCUGGCAGGUGAUGGUGCCACUCUCAUCCGGGGCAUUUGCGGGCAGGCCCCUUGCUGCAGCUGCCAGGCUUUGCUCAGCUCUUCCUGCCCUUGGGCCGCACUUUCCUCCCCUUUGAACAGAGAAGCUGGGUUCGCGACGCCCGACGCAGGCACAGCAGCCUCUCAGCUGCGUGCGUACUUCCCGAAAGGGUGACAGUGGCGUGUUCUUCCUGUUGGUGUUCUAGAUGAGAUCGCCUCUGUCCCAGUCUCCUUACAGACGCUGAAACCUGUUACCGACAGAGCAAACCCGAAAAUCGGCAUAGGAAUGCUGGCAUUUAGUCCUGACAGCUACUUCCUGGCGACAAGGAACGGUCAGUUGUGCUGACGCAGGUGUUGUCUCACCCCUUACUGUGUCCUAUGGCCCCAGGUGUAGAAGUGACUAGAAAAGAAAAUCAAGUUGGGGGUUUCCUACACAUCACCUCCUUUCAUGUUUCUGCAGUAGCCGAGGUGCUCACAGAAGCUCCUUGGAGGCGCUGGGCCUCUUGUCCUGCAGCAGCCGCAGGCCCGCACAUGAGUCAGGAGGCCUCCACCCCACUCACUUGCUCCGCUCUGCUGAGUAGAAAGCAGGGCUGGGCACACUGCAGCCCGUCUUUUGUUAAGGGUUUCUCCAUUUGUAAAGGGCUAAAAAAAA
rnacentral:sRNA from 1 species